GGCGAACGGGUGAGUAACACGUGGGCAAUCUGCCCUUCACUCUGGGACAAGCCCUGGAAACGGGGUCUAAUACCGGAUAACACUCCUGCCUGCAUGGGUGGGGGUUGAAAGCUCCGGCGGUGAAGGAUGAGCCCGCGGCCUAUCAGCUUGUUGGUGGGGUAAUGGCCUACCAAGGCGACGACGGGUAGCCGGCCUGAGAGGGCGACCGGCCACACUGGGACUGAGACACGGCCCAGACUCCUACGGGAGGCAGCAGUGGGGAAUAUUGCACAAUGGGCGAAAGCCUGAUGCAGCGACGCCGCGUGAGGGAUGACGGCCUUCGGGUUGUAAACCUCUUUCAGCAGGGAAGAAGCGCAAGUGACGGUACCUGCAGAAGAAGCGCCGGCUAACUACGUGCCAGCAGCCGCGGUAAUACGUAGGGCGCAAGCGUUGUCCGGAAUUAUUGGGCGUAAAGAGCUCGUAGGCGGCUUGUCACGUCGGAUGUGAAAGCCCGGGGCUUAACCCCGGGUCUGCAUUCGAUACGGGCUAGCUAGAGUGUGGUAGGGGAGAUCGGAAUUCCUGGUGUAGCGGUGAAAUGCGCAGAUAUCAGGAGGAACACCGGUGGCGAAGGCGGAUCUCUGGGCCAUUACUGACGCUGAGGAGCGAAAGCGUGGGGAGCGAACAGGAUUAGAUACCCUGGUAGUCCACGCCGUAAACGUUGGGAACUAGGUGUUGGCGACAUUCCACGUCGUCGGUGCCGCAGCUAACGCA
rnacentral:rRNA from 1 species